GGACAGAAUGUAUAAACAACAACAAGAAUGGUUAGCUCGAGUGGGCUUCAACUUUACCUAUUUGAAAUGGGUUUCGGGUAAAAUUGGAAGGGGAAACAUUUAGGUUUUCAUUUGGUUCAUUUUGGAAAUUAGAUGAUGUUUAGGGGAGAGAAGUGAGAAGAAGAGAGAAAAGAGAAGACGAAGGAGAGGAGAAGAAAGGGUUUGCGGGUUCUUCCUCCGACGACAGCAGCAGCGCCUUCGUUCCGGUGACAAGCCAACGAGGAUCUUCUCGUCCGCUCCAACUCCUUCCUUCGGUUUUGUUCUUCUAUUCCAAGUUCGGGAAAUAUGGAAACUUCUUGAAAGGAUAUGGUGAAAACUUGAGCGAGGUGUAGCUGGGUGCCAACGUACUGAUCGAGGAGGCUGUGAGCAGCAAGCACAUUGUUGAUAUAUUCUGCUCCAAGGAAAAAGUCUUUGACUUUUGAACAUUGGUCUCUCCAGCAAGUUCCAUGAGUUUUGCAAGUCCUGCCUAGUUAUGGUCAUCAAAUCUGUCCAUCUUUCCCGGUUGCAUGCAAUCCAAAAAUUUAUAACUUUCUCUCAUGUCUGGCAUUCUGUUUGUUUUUUUAAAUAUGUAUAGGUGCAGCACAUGCUUGAUUUGUAAAUUCAGUUCUUAUCUGCGUCAAGGUCCUUUUAAUCCUAAUCAAAAUAUUCACACAUAGGUACUAAUAAACUUCAGAUUGUGGAAAUAAAUAAAUAAAUAAAAACGUAAUUCAAUUCU